rnacentral:rRNA from 1 species
CAAUAGCGUAUAUUAAAGUUGUUGCAGUUAAAAAGCUCGUAGUUGGAUUUAAGUUUGGUUCAAGAUCACAGUCGUGAGAUUGCGGUGCAUGAAACGGACAUUAUUUGGGAUUGGGGGUUUCUUGGCAUUCAGUUGUUGAGAUUCAACUGCCCAUCGUUUACUGUGAAAAAAUUAGAGUGUUUAAAGCAGGGGUUUUUCCUUUGGAUAUAUUAGCAUGGAAUAAUAAUAUAUGACUCGUAUGGUCUAUUUUGUUGGUUUGCACAUAUGAGUAAUGAUUAAUAGGGACAGUUGGGGGUAUUCAUAUUUGAGCGUCAGAGGUGAAAUUCUUGGAUCGCUGAAAGAUGAGCUAAGGCGAAAGCAUUUACCAAGGAUGUUUUCAUUAA